rnacentral:rRNA from 1 species
AUUGAACGCUGGCGGCAGGCCUAACACAUGCAAGUCGAGCGGGGACUUCGGUCCUAGCGGCGAACGGGUGAGUAAUGCUUGGGAAUCUGCCCAGUAGUGGGGGAUAACGUCCCGAAAGGGACGCUAAUACCGCAUACGUCCUACGGGAGAAAGAGGGGGAUCUUCGGACCUCUCGCUAUUGGAUGAGCCCAGGUCGGAUUAGCUAGUUGGUAGGGUAAUGGCCUACCAAGGCGACGACCCGUAGCUGGUCUGAGAGGAUGAUCAGCCACACUGGAACUGAGACACGGUCCAGACUCCUACGGGAGGCAGCAGUGGGGAAUAUUGGACAAUGGGCGAAAGCCUGAUCCAGCCAUGCCGCGUGUGUGAAGAAGGCCUUCGGGUUGUAAAGCACUUUAAGCGGGGAGGAAGGUUCGCGGCCUAAUACGUCGCGGAAUUGACGUUACCCGCAGAAUAAGCACCGGCUAACUCUGUG